AAUAACUGUAUUUUUACACUGUUCAUCUCUAAUAUUUGACCGUUCGUUUUAUUUAGAAUUUUUUAUGAUUAGUAUUUUUAUUGUUAUUAGAUGAUAAAACAUAAAUAAUAGUUUAUGUGUGACUAAUUUUUUAUAUUUUUUUCAUAAAAUUUUCAAAUAAGAUAUAUGGUCAAACAUUGAACACGGAUAGAC
rnacentral:pre_miRNA from 1 species